rnacentral:rRNA from 1 species
UACGAAGGGGGCAAGCGUUGUUCGGAAUUAUUGGGCGUAAAGAGCUCGUAGGCGGUCUGUCGCGUCGAAUGUGAAAACCCGGGGCUCAACCCCGGGCCUGCAUUCGAUACGGGCAGACUAGAGUUCGGUAGGGGAGUCUGGAAUUCCUGGUGUAGCGGUGAAAUGCGCAGAUAUCAGGAGGAACACCGGUGGCGAAGGCGGUUCUCUGGGCCUGUACUGACGCUGAGGAGCGAAAGCGUGGGGAGCGAACAGG